CGCGCCAACUGUCAGAAUGUUUUGAAAAACAAAAUGCUCUUAUUUCGAUGCAUUUCAAGAGUUUUGUUGUGAUAAAAACACUGGAAUAUAGACUGAAAUACUAUCCAACCAUUAGACUCAUGAUCUUGACAUGGAUCCAAGAUGCUGGUAACUAGGCGGAACGGAUUGUUUCACAGAACUGCAGGUUUCUGGAUGGAGACUCAGCGCCAUGUCACAAAUACUUCAGAACCUAGAAUGAAAGUUACCGAAAGAGCAAUAGACUUUCCAAUCUCUACAAAAUUCAUCUUAACUGUUCUUCAAGGUGAUACUUGAGACUACCAAAGACUUUUCAAGGACAGAAUUCACAAAACAGUUUAUGCCACCAUCUCAUAUCAAAGGAUUGUGCUUGAGUUGAACAGCCUUCAAACAGAAGCUGUUUCAACACCUUCAAUGUGUUAUGCUGUAAAAAUUCGAGUACUUUUGUGUAAUGAAGUUUUACGAAAUGUCAUCAAUACUUUUCAUGUUUCAUA